ACAAAACUAAACUAAUAAUUAUAUUCAUAACUGAAAUAACUUUGAUUUUUAGGUUUUUAUAAGCUUUGAGAAAGUGGCUCAUUGCACAUUUAUUGAGUUCUUACUAAAUUUCAGCACUGUCCUGGGCACUAGAUAUACAAAAAUGAAGAAGAUGUUAUCUUUCCUUAUCAUCUUUUCUUUUUUCUCACAGCCUAUUAUGAGGGUAAAAUCCCUAGUGUGAUUUUUUAAGUAAAACCCAGUGUGAAUGUAAUGUUAUAAAAAAGUGGGCAUGAGAGUCAAUCUGGCUCAAAGAAGUUGUGCUGGAGACUCUUUGCUCCUCCAGAGCCUUUCUCUUCACUUUUCCACCCUGUUCUGUGCUCCAGGAGCUGGAGGGACUACAUCACAGUCUUCCUUUAUCCCUGAUUUCAGUUUCAUUCGGCCAAUGGGAGGCACUGGCAGGAGAUCAAAGGGCAGGAGGACUGUCAGGCUAGGGUAUUUUUAGCAUAGCUCCUUCCCUUUGGAAGUUGUACAGGUUGGCUGCAUGCCUCUACUGAAGGCUACUCUUCUUAUCAAGUAACGUCUUCUCCAUGCUCUUGACCCUUGCCCCUUCAGACCUAUGGAUGGUAAUAACCUGCCCACACCUAGUUUACCAUCAGAGGACACAGCAGCAAGGUGCCAUCCUAGAAGCAGAGAGCAGACCCUUACCAGACAACCAACCAGCUGGUGCCAUGAUCUUGGACUUCUCGGCCUCCAGAACUCUAAUUAUGUUACUUCUGUUUCACAUGGAUCUCAUAUAGAAAAUGCACAAGUGUUUAAGAACAGAAUAUAAUGAUGAAGGAAUAUCAAUAAGUAUAUUUUUUGCAUUGGUUAUAUUAGUCAAACAUGGCAUUACAAAAGGAGUGUCUAAUCUUCCCCAGAUGUCAUUAUAAGACAUUUACCUCCACCUUGGAAGAAUACAAAGGACUCCACUUAAAAGGCAAAUCAAGCCAAACCUUAUAAAGACAAGCCACAGACUUCAGGUUACAUGUUUUGAGUUCUGCACAAAAUAUUUGAAUGGGUGCUUCAUAAAAGAUGAUAUAUGAGGACUUGGGGCAGAACAAGAUGGCAGAAUAGAAGGCUCCGCCAAUUGUCCCUGCUUCAAGGACACCAAUUUAACAACUAACUACAUAAAAUAGCACCUUUAUAAGAACCAAAAAUCAGGUGAGUACCUGGCUUUAACUUCGUAUUACUAAAAGAGGCACUGAAGAGGCAGGAAAAACCGUCUUGAAUUGCUGACAUCACACCUCCUCUCUCCCGCAGCAGCAGUGGCAUGGUGCAGAGAACAUUUUUGUGUGCUGGGGAGAAGGAGAUCACAGUAUUUGUGAGGCAUUGAACUCAGUGCUGCCUUAUUAUAACAGAAAACAAAAUUGGACCAAUCUAUUCAUGAAUUGGAAAAAUCAAUAUUGCUAAAAUGUCCAUACUACCCAAAGCAAUCUACAGAUUUAAUGCAAUCCCUAUCAAAAUGCCAAUGACAUUAUUCACAGAAAUAGAAAAACACUCUAAAACGUAUGUGGAACCACAAAACACCCAGAAUAGCCAAAGCUAUACUAAGCAAAAAAAAAAAACAACAAAAAAAAACUGUAGGAAUCACUUACCUGACUAUAAAUUACACUACACAGCUAAGGUAACCAAAAAGGCAUGGUACCCACAUAAAUAAAAACAGACACAUAGAUCACUGAAACUGAAUAGAGGAUCCAGAGGUAAAUCCAUACAUACAUCUACAGUGAACUCAUUUUUGACGAAGUAGCCAUGAACAUACAUUGUGGAAAGGACAAUCUCUCCAAUAAAUGAUGCCGGGCAAGCUGGACAUCUAUAUGCAAAAGAACAAAACUAGAUUCCUAUCUCUGAACAGAUACAAAAAUCAAAUCAAAAUGGAUUAAAGAUUGAAAUAUAAGAUCUCAAAUGAUGUAACUACUACAUGAAAACAUUAGGGAAUCUCCCCAGAACAUUGGCCUGGGCAAAGGUUUCUUAAGUAAUAAACACUUCACAAGCACAGGCAACCCAAAACAAAAAUUGACAAAUGGGAUCAUACCAAGUUCCAAAGCUUCUGCACAGCAAAAAAAAAAUAAUAAUAAUAAUUAACAAAGAUAAAAGCCACAGAACAGGAGAAAAUACUAAUUUAUAUUCCCAUCUUGCAAACUACCCAUCUGACAAAAGGUUAAUAACCAGAAUACAUAAGGAGCUCAAACAACAGUGUAGGAAAAACAUCUAGUAAUCCUUUUUUAAAAAAAAUGGGCAAAAAAUCUGAAUAGACAUUUCUCGAAAGAAGACAGGUAUAUGAAAAGGUGCUCAACAUCAUUGCUCAUCAGAGAAAUGCAAAUCAAAACUGCAAUAAGAUAUUAUCUCACCCCAGGUAGAAUGGCUUUUAUCUAAUGUCUGGCAAUAACAAAUGCUGACGAGGAUGGAGAGAAAAGGAAAGCCUCGUACAUUGUUAGUGGGAAUAUAAAUUAGUACAACCACUGUGGAGAACAGUUUGGAGGUUCCCAAAAAACUAAAAAUAGAGCCACUGUACUAUCCAGCAAUCCUGCUGCUGGGUAUAUACCCCAAAUAAAAGAAAUCGACAUAUCAAAGAAUAGUUGUAGCACUGUUCACAAUAGCCAAAAUUUGGAAGCAAUGUAAGUGUUCAUCAACAGAUGAAUGAAUAAAGAAAAUGUGGUUCAUAUACACAAUGGAGCACUAAUCAGCCAUAAAGAAGAAUGAGAUUCUGUUUUUUGCAACAAAAUGGAUGGAACUGGAGGUCAUUUUGUUAAGUGAACUAAGCUAGACAGAGAAGGACAAACCUUAAAUGUUCUCACUGAUUUGUGGAAGGUAAAAAGGAAAGUAGUUGAACUCAUGGAGAUAAGAGUAGAAGGAUGGUUAACAGAGAUUGGGAAGGGUAGUCAGGGAGUGUGGGGGAAGUAGCGAUGGUUAAUCAGCACAAAAACAUUGUUAGAAAGAAUGAAUAAGACCUAGUAUUUGCUAGCACAACCGUGUGACUAUAGUCAAAAAUAAUUUGAUUGUACAUUUUAAAAUAACUAAAAUAGCACAAUUGGAUCAUUUGUAACACAAAAGAUCAAUACCUGAGGUGAUAGGUACCCCAAUUACUCCGAUGUGACUAUUAUGCAUUGCAUGCCUGUUUUGAAAUAUCUCCUGUAUUUCCUUCCUGUGCGAGGCCAGCUGAGGGCACUUGCUCCCGUUGUUUCUGCUCCUGGGUUAACAAUCAAGAUGGUACAUGCUGAUGCCUUUUCUCAUCCUUUGAGUCACAAUGAAGUUGUUGGUUUAAUUUUCCAUUUGACAAUAUUUGGUUCAGUAACAUACUUUAGUAUCAAAUGGAUGGUAGAUGCAAUUGAUCCAAUCAGAAAGCAAAAAGCAGAAGCUCAGAAACAGGCAGAAAAACUAAUGAAGCUAAUUGGUGUGAAAAACGUGAAGCUCUCAGAAUAUGAAAUGAGUGUUGCUGCCCACCAGUAGA